rnacentral:rRNA from 1 species
CCUACGGGUGGCUGCAGUGGGGAAUAUUGGACAAUGGGCGAAAGCCUGAUCCAGCCAUGCCGCGUGUGUGAAGAAGGCCUUCGGGUUGUAAAGCACUUUCAGUGGGGAAGAAAGCCUUGGGGCUAAUACCCUCGAGGAAGGACAUCACCCACAGAAGAAGCACCGGCUAACUCCGUGCCAGCAGCCGCGGUAAUACGGAGGGUGCGAGCGUUAAUCGGAAUUACUGGGCGUAAAGCGCGCGUAGGCGGUCUGAUAAGCCGGUUGUGAAAGCCCCGGGCUCAACCUGGGAACGGCAUCCGGAACUGUCAGGCUAGAGUGCAGGAGAGGAAGGUAGAAUUCCCGGUGUAGCGGUGAAAUGCGUAGAGAUCGGGAGGAAUACCAGUGGCGAAGGCGGCCUUCUGGACUGACACUGACGCUGAGGUGCGAAAGCGUGGGUAGCAAACAGGAUUAGAUACCCUUGUAGC